AAGGGGGCGAGCGCAAGCGGCUCCCGCUGAAGGAUGGGCCUGCGGCUGAUUAGCUAGUUGGUGGGGUAGCGGCCUACCAAGGCGACGAUCAGUAGCCGACCUGAGAGGGUGACCGGCCACACUGGGACUGAGACACGGCCCAGACUCCUACGGGAGGCAGCAGUGGGGAAUAUUGCGCAAUGGGCGAAAGCCUGACGCAGCGACGCCGCGUGGGUGAUGAAGGCCUUCGGGUCGUAAAACCCUGUCGGGUGGAACGAAUUCCCUCUUCGCUAAUAUCGGGGAGGAUUGACGGUACCACCGAAGGAAGCCCCGGCUAACUACGUGCCAGCAGCCGCGGUAAUACGUAGGGGGCGAGCGUUGUUCGGAUUUACUGGGCGUAAAGAGCGCGUAGGCGGUACGAUAAGUCGGAGGUGAAAUCCCUCGGCUCAACCGAGGACCCGCGUCCGAUACUGUCGAACUUGAGUGCAGGAGAGGAGAGCGGAAUUCCCAGUGUAGCGGUGAAAUGCGUAGAUACUGGGAGGAACACCGGUGGCGAAAGCGGCUCUCUGGACUGUCACUGACGCUGAGGCGCGAAAGCUAGGGGAGCAAACGGGAUUAGAUACCCCGGUAGUCCUAGCCGUAAACGAUGGGCACUAGGUGUGGGAGGUAUUGACCCCUUCUGUGCCGCAG
rnacentral:rRNA from 1 species